AACGAACGCUGGCGGCAUGCCUAACACAUGCAAGUCGAACGAGACCUUCGGGUCUAGUGGCGCACGCGUGCGUAACGCGUGGGAACCUGCCCUUAGGUUCGGAAUAACUCCCCGAAAGGGGUGCUAAUACCGGAUAAUGUCUUCGGACCAAAGAUUUAUCGCCUUUGGAUGGGCCCGCGUUGGAUUAGCUAGUUGGUAGGGUAAAAGCCUACCAAGGCGACGAUCCAUAGCUGGUCUGAGAGGAUGAUCAGCCACACUGGGACUGGGACACGGCCCAGACUACUACGGGAGGCAGCAGUGGGGAAUAUUGGAAAAUGGGCGAAAGCCUGAUCCAGCAAUGCCGCGUGAGUGAUGAAGGCCUUAGGGUUGUAAAGCUCUUUUACCCGGGAUGAUAAUGACAGUACCGGGAGAAUAAGCUCCGGCUAACUCCGUG
rnacentral:rRNA from 1 species